GAAGCUUCGACUAAGGUUCGAUUCGAGCGCAGCGAGAACGCGUUGCCGCAGGCAACGACCCGAAGGGCGAAGCGCGCAGCGCUGAGUCAUCCUUCCCCCACCACCA
rnacentral:sRNA from 2 species